rnacentral:rRNA from 1 species
CCUACGGGUGGCUGCAGUCGAGAAUCAUUCACAAUGGGGGAAACCCUGAUGGUGCGACGCCGCGUGGGGGAAUGAAGGUCUUCGGAUUGUAAACCCCUGUCAUGUGGGAGCAAAUUAAAAAGUUAGUACAACAAGCGGAAGCGACGGCUAACUCUGUGCCAGCAGUCGCGGUAAUACGGCGGUCUUAAGCGUUGUUCGGAAUCACUGGGCGUAAAGCGUGCGUAGGCUGUUUCGUAAGUCGUGUGUGAAAGGCGCGGGCUCAACCCGCGGACUGAACAUGUUACUGCGAGACUAGAGUAAUGGAGAGGGAGCCGGAAUUCUCGGUGUAGCAGUGAAAUGCGUAGAGAUCGAGAGGAACACUCGUGGCGAAGGCGGGUUCCUGGACAUUAACUGACGCUGAGGCACGAAGGCCAGGGGAGCGAAAGGGAUUAGAUACCCGAGUAGUC